GCGUUCUUAGCUCAGUUGGAUAGAGCGAUGCCUUCUAAGCCGGAUGUCGCAGGUUCGAAUCCUGUAGAACGUA
rnacentral:tRNA from 1 species